GCUGGUGUGGUGUAGUGGUUUGAAUGUAGGCUAAUAAUACUGGGGACCAGGGUUCAAUUCCCAGCUCAGCC